GAGUUUGAUCAUGGCUCAGAUUGAACGCUGGCGGCAUGCCUUACACAUGCAAGUCGAACGGCAGCACGGGAGCUUGCUCCUGGUGGCGAGUGGCGAACGGGUGAGUAAUGCAUCGGAACGUAUCCUGGAGUGGGGGAUAACGUAGCGAAAGUUACGCUAAUACCGCAUAUUCUGUGAGCAGGAAAGCGGGGGACCUUCGGGCCUCGCGCUCUUGGAGCGGCCGAUGUCGGAUUAGCUAGUUGGUGAGGUAAAGGCUCACCAAGGCGACGAUCCGUAGCAGGUCUGAGAGGAUGAUCUGCCACACUGGAACUGAGACACGGUCCAGACUCCUACGGGAGGCAGCAGUGGGGAAUUUUGGACAAUGGGGGCAACCCUGAUCCAGCCAUGCCGCGUGAGUGAAGAAGGCCUCGGUUGGUAAG
rnacentral:rRNA from 3 species